GACAGAGGUGCCGAGCGUUAGGCGGAAUCACUGGGCUUAAAGCGUGUGUAGGCGGACUUCUAAGUCCCUUGUGAAAUCCCACGGCUCAACCGUGGAACUGCUUGGUAUACUGGUCGUCUUGAGCCAUCUAGGGGCUGUCGGAACAAAUGGUGGAGCGGUGAAAUGCGUAGAUAUCAUUUGGAACGCCAAAGGUGAAAACAGACAGCUGGGGAUGUGCUGACGCUGAGACACGAAAGCCAGGGGAGCGAACGGG
rnacentral:rRNA from 1 species